rnacentral:rRNA from 1 species
GACGAACGCUGGCGGCGUGCUUAACACAUGCAAGUCGAACGGAAAGGCCUCUUUCGGGGGGUACUCGAGUGGCGAACGGGUGAGUAACACGUGAGUAACCUGCCCUUGACUUUGGGAUAACUUCAGGAAACUGGGGCUAAUACCGGAUAGGAGCUCCUGCUGCAUGGUGGGGGUUGGAAAGUUUCGGCGGUUGGGGAUGGACUCGCGGCUUAUCAGCUUGUUGGUGGGGUAGUGGCUUACCAAGGCUUUGACGGGUAGCCGGCCUGAGAGGGUGACCGGCCCCAUUGGGACUGAGAUACGGCCCAGACUCCUACGGGAGGCAGCAGUGGGGAAUAUUGCACAAUGGGUGGAAGCCUGAUGCAGCAACGCCGUGUGCGGGAUGACGGCCUUCGGGUUGUAAACCGCUUUCGCUCAUGACGAAGCUUUGUGUGACGGUAGUGGGUAAAGAAGCACCGGCUAACUACGUG